rnacentral:lncRNA from 1 species
AACAGAGCUGUGUGUGUUAUGUGAGUUUCAUACAGUAUGUAGGGCAGAACUCUGAGCUCUGUGGCAUGGAUAGAAAAGUAAUUCAAUUACUGUGGAAUUAAAAUCAACUGCAUUACACUGGAAAAAAAACAGGUGACACUGAGAGCAGGAAGGAGGGUUUGGCACCUUGCAAGGCUGGGACACACACAACCCAUGGCUUACCACUCUCCUUGUUGCUGGGACUGUUCAGAGAGGCCCGAGUACAGGACAGUCAGCGUAGCCCAAGCACUGGGCACAUUCUACCAGACAGUUAAAAGUUGUAGACCUGACUGUGCGAAUUUCUGAGUGGUGGAACUCUGUUGUCUGUGCUAAAUUCAAGAGAGGACAAGAAGAAUGGCAGAAGAGGAAUAUGGCUUCAGAAAAGAUUGAAACUCAUCCUGUUCCUGGCUGAAUAAGGAUCUAAAUUCCUGAAAACUACAAUUCCAGAGCACAAUACAGGAAAUAUUUGACGAAAAUAUAUAAAUGGUGAUAUGCAGAAGUUCGAGGUCCACACAGAGCUUCGGUGAUGAUAUUAAAUAAUAAAUCAGUACUAGUUACUCCA